AUGCUGAUGGCUGGACUCCUAGCGAUGGCCCGCAGCUAUGGCCAGAAAUCGAAGACCAAGAAGAGGGCGGCCAAAGGAACCGUGCGCGACAUGGAGAAGAGGGUCAUGGAAGCGGUCCGGGCAAGGGGACGCGCCCGAUCAAGUUGGUUCCAGAGGUUCAUGGCCGCAUCCGACGGGGUCGAUAAGGCCGUCCAAGAUUUCAUCGAGCAUCACAUCAAAACGUCACCGUGCUGGUCUCGCAUCUCAUCAGCCUGCGCACAAGCAAACUCGACGCUCCAUAUUAUUUAUGUUCUCUGCUUGCUCUUCUUGUUUGUAUCAAUGUGCAUGUUAGUGAUCUUGUUGUAA
rnacentral:rRNA from 1 species